CACAUUCGAGUGGAACCAGGAAAACGUCUUUUCUUUCGSUGACGAGCGGCGGACGGGGUGAGUAAUGUUAGGGAAUCUGCCYUGAUGGAGGGGGGAUACAUACUGGAAGGGAUGGUUAAUCCGCAUAAUGUUGCAAGACCAAACAGGGGGUCCUUCGGCCCUCCGCCAUCGGAUGUCCCCAGAUGGGAUUAGUUAGUAGGUGGGGUAAGGCCUCCCCUAGGCGACGAUCCUUACGUGUUCUGAGAGGAUGUCCACCCCCAUGGGAAUUGAGCCCCGGCCCAGAUUCUUCSGGGAGCCACCAGUGGGGAAUAUUGCCCAAUGGGCGCAACCUUGAUCCACCCAUCCCGCGGGUAUGAAGAAGCCUUUCGGGUGGUAAACUCCUUUCASGGGGGAGGAAGGGAUUAAGGUUAAUCCCACGGAUAAUGGACGUUACUCGCAGAAGAAGCACCGGCUAACUCCGUGCCAGCAGCCGCGGUAAUACGGAGGGUGCAAGCGUUAAUCGGAAUUACUGGGCGUAAAGCGCGCGCAGGCGGUUUAUUAAGUCAGAUGUGAAAUCCCCGAGCUCAACUUGGGAAUUGCAUUUGAUACUGGCGAGCUAGAGUAUSGUAGAGGAGGGUAGAAUUCCAGGUGUAGCGGUGAAAUGCGUAGAGAUCUGGAGGAAUACCGGUGGCGAAGGCGGCCCCCUGGCCUAAGACUGACGCUCAGGUGCGAAAGCAUGGGGAGCAAACAGGAUUAGAUACCCUGGUAGUCCACGCCGU
rnacentral:rRNA from 1 species